rnacentral:rRNA from 1 species
GAUGAACGCUGGCGGCGUGCCUAAUACAUGCAAGUCGAGCGAACAGACGAGGAGCUUGCUCCUUUGACGUUAGCGGCGGACGGGUGAGUAACACGUGGAUAACCUACCUAUAAGACUGGGAUAACUUCGGGAAACCGGAGCUAACACCGGAUAACAUGUUGAACCGCAUGGUUCAACAGUGAAAGACGGUCUUGCUGUCACUUAUAGAUGGAUCCGCGCCGCAUUAGCUAGUUGGUAAGGUAACGGCUUACCAAGGCAACGAUGCGUAGCCGACCUGAGAGGGUGAUCGGCCACACUGGAACUGAGACACGGUCCAGACUCCUACGGGAGGCAGCAGUAGGGAAUCUUCCGCAAUGGGCGAAAGCCUGACGGAGCAACGCCGCGUGAGUGAAGAAGGUCUUCGGAUCGUAAAACUCUGUUAUUAGGGAAGAACAAAUGUGUAAGUAACUAUGCACGUCUUGACGGUACCUAAUCAGAAAGCCACGGCUAACUACGUG